UUCUUCUGUCAGUAACGUCACAGCAACGUGCUAUUAACACGCUACCUUUCCUCCUGACUGAAAGUGCUUUACAACCCGAAGGCCUUCUUCACACACGCGGCAUGGCUGCAUCAGGGUUUCCCCCAUUGUGCAAUAUUCCCCACUGCUGCCUCCCGUAGGAGUA
rnacentral:rRNA from 1 species